rnacentral:rRNA from 1 species
GCAAGUCGAGCGCUACCUUCGGGUGGAGCGGCGGACGGGUUAGUAACGCGUGGGAACAUACCCUUCUCUAAGGAAUAGCCAUUGGAAACGAUGAGUAAUACCGUAUACGCCCUUCGGGGGAAAGAUUUAUCGGAGAAGGAUCGGCCCGCGUUAGAUUAGAUAGUUGGUGGGGUAAUGGCCUACCAAGGCGACGAUCUAUAGCUGGUCUGAGAGGAUGAUC